rnacentral:rRNA from 1 species
CGCUACCGAUCCCAAACAGAGUGAGGAAAGAGAGGGAGCGAGGGAACGCAGCGGCGGCGGUGGCGGCGGCGAGGGAGGGUAAGAGUCGGGCACGAGAGCGGAGAGAAGGAGUGGAGGGAACGCGGUGGUGGGCAGCCCUUCGUGGCGCCGGCGACAACGAGGCGCGGCGACGAGGACUCGGCUCGAGGAUGCAGCCGUAGUGGCACUCCUCGUACCGGACGACUCUGCCGGCAGGUACAGCGGCAACGCCGGCAAGAAGCGCGGUAGCCACCUAACCCACUUGGGAUCGGCGGGGAGAGAGGGAGAGAGGGAGAGAGGAAGAGUCGGACACGAGACAGGAGAGAAGGAGCGGAGGGGAGCGGCGGUGGGCAGCCCUUCGCAACGCCGACGAGGAGGCGCGGUGAGGAGGAGGAGGGCCUACUCACACGGCAACGCGGUAGCUUCCUUCCCCGCGGUCCUCGGUUACCGUUCCUCCGGAGGGAACACGGUCGGGGAGCGCCGGUACUUCCUGCCGACUCGGUAGUCCUCGCCGCCACCACCGGACUAUACCUGCGUGGACACCGAAGGGCACCACGAGGUGAACACGAGGGAGGAGCAGUGGGUCCUGGACCUUGCGUGGCUGCCUAGAGUACCUCCGGUUUGCCUAGGGCCAAGCCAACAAGGCUACGCACUACUGCGCUACAAGAAGGGUUUUAACUAAUAGAGCACAAUCAAUGACGGAUGUCCGAACAUGCGUCAGACGACGGUUGUGGAGGAGCGCACACGCUGUGGAGGUUAAGGUCUUCAGUGUUCGAGCCGAGAGUUUCCUAGCUCGUCUCCGUCCCGGAGUCGCUGGCCUCCGUCGGCCGUCGCCGAGCCGCGCCGUUGAUGGCCUAGCUGUCUUCUAACUCACGUGUAACUCAGGUAUGUAAGUCCAACAACGCCGGUCGUGCUGUGGCCAUCAAAGAGAUGUUUACUCUUCCAAUGGUUACCCGCACCCUUAUCGAGUUAACCGAUUAGGUCCCCCACACUCGUGUAGAAGCAACAGGAGACGUCACUGUUCCAAAGACACUUCUUGUCCGUCCAAUUUCGGUUCUCGUUGAUGUUGUAACUCUUCGGGAAGUAAAUGGAACGUUCCUUCAACCCUCGACCGACCGUGUUUUGAUUCGGACACCGAUGUUGGUGACGAACUACUGUUACUGUUAGACUAGCUCAUCUAGCUAGUACUCAAAAUAGUAUGAAACUCGGUCUCAAAUACUACAUCUACGUUCAUGAACGGAACGGAUAAUAUAAAACCGUCCAAUAAUGUUGGUAUCUCAAAAUUCCACAAAGGCGAGACAAAGUGCAAAAUGUCAUUUAUGUACAAUUAGGUUUUUAACAAUAAAUCACAACUACCCGUUAUAAACGUAAAAAAGCGUUUUUUAACACAGAGAGAACAGAGGGGGUGAGAGGAAAGAAAGGAGUUGUAAGGUAGGGUUUAGUUCUCCCUCAGAAGCUACCAAGCAGACGGAGUAGCCGCAAGUUGUCCCCACGCUUCUCUAGGACUGGUCGAGUUGCCUGUAGGGGCGAGUGAGGAGACGUUGCUAAAAAUUCGAUAAUACCAUGCCGUAACCACAGUAGCGCUUUUUCUAAGACUUUGAUUGAGGAUUUCUAGAGUUUGUCCCUGUACCUUUCAUAUACGACAGUUUUAUAAUAAGGAUCUUCUACAGUCGUUUAGGUCAGACCAUGUUCCGUUAUCACCGGGAGAAUCGUACCGAUACCCUCAUGAGUUCUGUCGGAAAGGGAAGUUCUCUAGCACGUUCUCAAAUAAAACAAAAUAAAACUUUCUAAUACUACAGAAAGGGAACUUCCUAAUACUACAGAAAGUUUAGCUAGUACAAGACCGACAAUACCGUAUAAAGACUAGUUUGUACCAGAGUAAACGACGUUCCUCGGAAUUUCUACGGGAACCAGUAUACAAUUAUUUAAAUUGUACAUAAUCUUUUCUUAUCGUACAUCCAACUACUAUAACAGAAAGUUUUAACUAUGAAUCUUAUUAUCACAUGGUAGUUUUAAUAUCGAACCAGAAUGGUACAGUGGACCAGAUUUAAGUCACACAUGUAGUGAAAAAACAAGAGUCAUUCAAAGAUCGUAAAGAUGUACGUAGAGAGACAUCGGAUCUGUAUCAUUUGAUAACUACGAUAAGGUUUGUGUUCGAGUUCGUUCAAGUUAUUUAAUAUAUAAAAAUAAUCAUAUUAGUCGUACUCUAUGUGGAACUAAAGUAGUGAACCAAAUGACAGACGUAUAAACAAAGUUACGUCCAUGGUAGUUACAGGAUCUUCAACAUCGAAGGUCGGAAAUCAUUGAUGUGUUUUUGACGGUUUCGAAGUCUCGGUAGUACACUCAUACUCAUUUGUGUCCAGCUCAACGUUCUCCUGGGAGAGUACCGGAUAAAGUCAACCCUUGAACAUAAUUCUACAUGAACUCGAUGUAUUUCAAACUCCCGAUUAAAAGCUACCUAAACAUACGGAACUAGUCCAUAAUCCUAGUACCAAUAAACACGAUAUACAUAUCUCCGUGGAGAAAUAACCUUUUUUUCAUAUCUACGUGGAUACUAUAUCACCUCUAACUACUCGUCGUGGUGUAGGUUCACUUGGACUCACCCUUGGACAAAGGUGGCUCUCUGAUGGCCCUGAAACUACGAUCGAUCGA